ACGCUCGACACCUACGGGGGCAGCAGUUGGGAAUAUUGGACAAUGGAGGAAACUCUGAUCCAGUGACGCCGCGUGAAGGAAGAGGGUCUUCGGAUUGUAAACUUAUUUUGUCAGGGAAGAAAAAAUGACUGUACCUGAAGAAAAAGCACCGGCUAACUACGUGCCCGCAGCCGCGGUAAGUCUGAGCGGGCGUGGCAAGGC
rnacentral:rRNA from 1 species